CAAUUGAUUUGCUGAACAAUGGAAUAGAUUGAAGUACAAAAAGAAACAUUUGACAAAUUUGCCAGACGUAUCAACAAUGGACUUGUAAGAGACAAUAGUUACUGUUUCCUAGACGUCCUUACAUUCAAUUAGUUUAUUAUUGCAGUACCACGUUUGACAAUUGAUUUGCUGAACAAUGGAAUAGAUUGAAGUACAAAAAGAAACAUUUGACAAAUUUGCCAGACGUAUCAACAAUGGACUUAUUGCAGUACCACGUUUGACAAUUGAUUUGCUGAACAAUGGAAUAGAUUGAAGUACAAAAAGAAACAUUUGACAAAUUUGCCAGACGUAUCAACAAUGGACUUUAAGAGACAAUAGUUACUGUUUCCUAGACGUCCUUACAUUCAAUUAGUUUAUUAUUGCAGUACCAGGUUUGACAAUUGAUUUGCUGAACAAUGGAAUGGAUUUGAGUACAAAAAGAAACAUUUGACAAAUUGGCCAGACGUAUCAACAAUGGACUUGUAAGAGACAAUAGUUACUGUUUCCUAGACGUCCUUACAUUCAAUUAGUUUAUUAUUGCAGUACCACGUUUGACAAUUGAUUUGCUGAACAAUGGAAUGGAUUGAAGUACAAAAAGAAACAUUUGACAAAUUGGCCAGACGUAUCAACAAUGGACUUGUAAGAGACAAUAGUUACUGUUUCCUAGACGUCCUUACAUUCAAUUAGUUUAUUAUUGCAGUACCACGUUUGACAAUUGAUUUGCUGAACAAUGGAAUAGAUUGAAGUACAAAAAGAAACAUUUGACAAAUUUGCCAGACGUAUCAACAAUGGACUUUAAGAGACAAUAGUUACUGUUUCCUAGACGUCCUUACAUUCAAUUAGUUUAUUAUUGCAGUACCACGUUUGACAAUUGAUUUGCUGAACAAUGGAAUAGAUUGAAGUACAAAAAGAAACAUUUGACAAAUUUGCCAGACGUAUCAACAAUGGACUUUAAGAGACAAUAGUUACUGUUUCCUAGACGUCCUUACAUUCAAUUAGUUUAUUAUUGCAGUACCACGUUUGACAAUUGAUUUGCUGAACAAUGGAAUGGAUUUGAGUACAAAAAGAAACAUUUGACAAAUUGGCCAGACGUAUCAACAAUGGACUUGUAAGAGACAAUAAUUACUGUUUCCUAGACGUCCUUACAUUCAAUUAGUUUAUUAUUGCAGUACCAGGUUUGACAAUUGAUUUGCUGAACAAUGGAAUGGAUUUGAGUACAAAAAGAAACAUUUGACAAAUUGGCCAGACGUAUCAACAAUGGACUUGUAAGAGACAAUAGUUACUGUUUCCUAGACGUCCUUACAUUCAAUUAGUUUAUUAUUGCAGUACCACGUUUGACAAUUGAUUUGCUGAACAAUGGAAU